UAACCUGCCCAAGAGAUCGGGAUAACACCUGGAAACAGAUGCUAAUACCGGAUAACAACAGAUGAUGCCUAUCAACUGUUUAAAAGAUGGUUCUGCUAUCACUCUUGGAUGGACCUGCGGUGCAUUAGCUAGUUGGUAGGGUAACGGCCUACCAAGGCGAUGAUGCAUAGCCGAGUUGAGAGACUGAUCGGCCACAUUGGGACUGAGACACGGCCCAAACUCCUACGGGAGGCAGCAUAA
rnacentral:rRNA from 1 species